rnacentral:rRNA from 1 species
UACAGAGGUCCCAAGCGUUGUUCGGAUUCAUUGGGCGUAAAGGGUGCGUAGGCGGCCUAUUAAGUCAGGGGGUGAAAGACGGUGGCUCAACCAUCGCAGUGCCCUUGAUACUGAUGGGCUUGAUUACACUUGAGGUAGGCGGAAUGUGACAAGUAGCGGUGAAAUGCAUAGAUAUGUCACAGAACACCAAUUGCGAAGGCAGCUUACUAAGGUGUUAAUGACGCUGAGGCACGAAAGCGUGGGGGAUCAAACAGG